GUGCGGAGGCGGAGCCAAAACGUCGAGGAGUCGCUCGUUCCGCUCGAGGUCGCAGAGGGAUUAGUCAAAUUGAAAAGGUGUCAGAUCCGCUCGAGGUCGCAGAGGGAUUAGUCUAAAUUGAAAAGGUGUCAGAUUCGCUCGAGGUCGCAGAGGGAUUAGUCUAAAUUGAAAAUGUGUCAGAUCAGGUCUCCUAGCGCGCGCACGAUUCAGUCGAACUGCCUGGCGAGGGUGACAUUAUUUUCUUGACCUUCAGUAAACCAAGGAUAGGAAAAUAACUGAAUGAAGUCAGAGUUUGACUUUCAACCACUUAUCAGAAAGUCUUCUGGAUAUUGUUUCGCUAGCAGCAUAACUUCUUUAUACACACAUCUUCUGUGCGGUCUUCUCCUUGAGCCUCGGCUCCAAGCACCUGACAAACGCUAGCUGAGCACUACUCUACACUCCUCCAAUCCUUCAACAGGGACCGGACAACCUGUGAACACAUUUACAAUAAUGGUUUUACUGUUUCAGGUUGGCGGAAACAGCUGAGAACCCAACACACACCUUGCCCUAAGGACAAUUCCAGGCAGACUCCAUUUGAUUUACAUCGGGACAGACAACCAGGCCCCAUACACAAACACACACUCUGGAAACCAAGCAACCAACAGAAGGCAGAGGAACACAGCCUCUAACAACCAACUACCCCACCUAUCUCACCAUCUCACCCAUUUGAUGCCUAGCCUAACCUAGGCCCGGAGAUAAAAAUGUUCUCUGCUGGCUGUUCUGGUUGAUUCCUAUCUGACUGACACACGCAGGCAGACAGACUGGCUGGUUUGGGCGUUUUGUGACGCUCUUCUGUACGUUCAUCAUCAUUGUGUAUCCGAAGGAAUCAACAUGCACCUGGCUGGUUAAGGUUGAGGCCUCGAAUGACAAGGACCACUUAGACGCGGUAUAGACAACUGACCUCGUAAGGACCGUGUGUGGUUACUGGUCACUGGUGUGGUGGUCAGGUAUGGGUAAGGAACAGGACUUCCUGGUGGCAGUGAAGAGUGGAGACAUCCUCCUGGCACACAAACUUCUGGCUAAAGUUAAAUGCAACAAAACCAAGUUGCUGAGUUCCACAAAGAGGCUGAACAUCAACUAUCAGGACUCAGAUGGGUAAGACAUUAGUGUGUGCAUGCGUUAGGGUUGGGUGGUAUCCAGAUUUUCAU
rnacentral:lncRNA from 1 species